ensembl:ncRNA W04D2.9 ncRNA
UUUGAGCUCAAGCCUCUCUAAGCUCAAAUUACAACUUUUGAGAAUCGUCACUUGCUCACCUUGUUUCCCUUCCAUUUUCUCCCCCAAAUCCUCCCACUCUAUUAUGAACCUCUCAGGGGGCAAGGGGUGCCCUCUUCCAUCUGACUC